rnacentral:rRNA from 1 species
AUGGGGAGGCGCCGCCGGUUCACGCAGCAGCCCACCAGCGACGACGACGACGACGACGACGAAGCCGUCCCGCAGCCGCUCAGAACCACCAAGCCCACAGCCCCCCUCUCCCCGGGCGCCAAGAAGCAGCAGCGUCACCGUGCCGACGAGGACGACCUGGAACUCGAGGAAGAGGAAGAGGAUGAGAAGGACCUGGCGGAGUUGAGGAAGAACGAGGAGGAAGAGAGACGGGAGGAGACGCAGACCCGCCGCCGCAGGGGCCGCAAACCCAAGCGCCCCGCCGAGGAGAGCGACGAGGAUCCGGAGGAGAAAAAGGCGGAAUCAGAGGAGGAGGAGGAGUCCCGCGAGGAGGAUAGCACGGAGGCGGUACCCGUCGGGGAACCUUUGAAGGUGACCGGCAAGGGGAAGAAGCAGCGGAGGCAUUACCUCUCCUUUGAGUACGAGGGCAACACCUUCGAGCUUGAGGACCCGGUGCUGCUCACGCCCGAGCAGCAGAAAGAGAAGCCCUAUGUCGCCAUCAUCAAGGAUAUAACAGAAAAUGAUGGGAGCUUAUCGGUAACUGGUCAGUGGUUUUAUAGGCCAGAAGAAGCUGACAAAAAGGGUGGUGGGAAUUGGACAGCAAGUGACACAAGAGAGCUAUUUUAUAGUUUUCAUAUAGAUGAUGUGCCAGCGGAGUCAGUUAUGCACAAAUGUGUAGUCCAUUUCAUUCCACUGAACAAGCAGAUUCCCAGUCGAAAGGAACACCCUGGAUUCAUUGUCCAAAAAGUUUACGACACAGUUGCGAAGAAAUUGUGGAACUUAACAGAUAAGGAUUAUGAGGAUAACAAGCAACACGAAAUCGAUCUCCUCGUGAAGAAAACAGUGGACCGUAUUGGACAGCUUCCUGACCGUGAACCUAUAGAUGUACCUGCUGACAGUACUGAUCAGUUCUCAAAUAAACGCGGUCUACGAAAGAGACCUCCGAACCCUUUAGACGUGUCGAGAGAUACAACAGGCAAACCCGAGCAAUUCAUAAAAGCAGAGACACCCGGGAGUGAUAAUCUAAAGCAUUAUGCCAUCCUCGCCAAAUAUAAAGCUGUCACUAACGCCACUUAUCGCGAUAAGUGGCUUGAUAAACUAGUAGACACUAUUCCAUUAACAUCAAAAGAAGGUGCUGAGGCUUCUCAUGCCGAUGCUGGCAGUGUGGCCAAAAUUUCAAAUAGCUCUUCAUCUGCAAGGGAUCCUAGUUCAAGUGAUAAUGAAAAUUCAUAUCCACCAGAUGUGGUUGUUUCAAUAAUGGCCUCCUUAGAAAGGUCUACAUAUGACGCUCUUCAUGCUGACUUCCAGAAGUAUAAUCAGAAAAUGAGAAAAUUAGAAUUCAACAUCAAGAAUAGCCCUGUACUGCGCAGGCGACUGAUGAACAAGGAGCUUGACCCUCCAGUUCUUUUAACCAUGUCUCCAGAUGAACUAAAGGCUGGGUUGACACCAGCAGAGAAAACGUCUGAACCAGAAGAAGCAAGGCGAUUGCAGAUGACUGAUGCACGAUGUGAAAGGUGCACAGAAAAGAGAGUAGGCAUUUCUGAUAUUAUUCAUGCUGGUCAUGGAGAUCGAUAUCAGGUAUUUAGUUUUUCAUUUUAUUUUCUUUAUUUCAUUUGGCUAUCAAGAUGGGUUUACAUUCUCUAUUUUUCUGGAAGCCACGUUGGGCCUUUCCAUUUUGAUUGUACAAUCUUACAGGUACUCCGUUUCUAA